UGGGGAAUCUUGGACAAUGGGGGCAACCCUGAUCCAGCGACGCCGCGUGGGUGAUGAAGGCCUUCGGGUUGUAAAGCCCUUUUCUCGGUGAGGAUGAUGACGGUACCCGUGGAGGAAGCACCGGCUAACUCUGUGCCAGCAGCCGCGGUAAUACAGAGGGUGCAAACGUUGCUCGGAAUGACUGGGCGUAAAGCGCGCGCAGGUGGCCUGUUAAGUCGGCUGUGAAAUCCCCUGGCUCAACCAGGGAAGUGCAGUCGAUACUGGCAGGCUCGAGUCCCGGAGAGGGUGGUAGAAUUCCCAGUGUAGAGGUGAAAUUCGUAGAUAUUGGGAGGAAUACCGGUGGCGAAGGCGACCGCCUGGACGGGUACUGACACUGAGGCGCGAAAGCGUGGGGAGCAAACAGGAUUAGAUACCCCGGUAGUCC
rnacentral:rRNA from 1 species